AAAACAUCGCCUCCUGCAACGCAACCAAGUAUAGGAGGUCCAGCCUGCCCAGUGACGAUAAGUUUAACGGCCGCGGUAUUUUGACCGUGCAAAGGUAGCGUAAUCACUUGUCUCUUAAAUGGAGACCUGUAUGAAUGGCCAAACGAGGGCUUAACUGUCUCCCCCUUCCAGUCAGUGAAAUUGAUCUAUCCGUGCAGAAGCGGGUAUAAUAAUACAAGACGAGAAGACCCUUUGGAGCUUAAGGUACAAAAAUCAACCACGUCAAGCAACUUUUUAAAGAGCAAAAACUUUGUGGAUUAUGACAUUUUUACCUUCGGUUGGGGCGACCACGGAGGAAAGAAGAGCCUCCAGGUGGACUGGGAAAAUACCCUAAAGCUAAGGGAGACAUCCCUAAGCCGCAGAACAUCUGACCAAACAUGAUCCGGCUAUUAAGGCCGAUCAACGAACCAAGUUACCCUAGGGAUAACAGCGCAAUCCUCUCCCAGAGUCCAUAUCGACGAGGGGGUUUACGACCUCGAUGUUGGAUCAGGACAUCCUAAUGGUGCAGCCGCUAUUAAGGGUUCGUUUGUUCAACGAUUAAAGUCCUACGUGAUCU
rnacentral:rRNA from 1 species